GUGCUCACUUCAGCUGCACAUAUACUAAAAUUGGAAUGAUAGAGAAAACCAGUAUGGCCCCUGUGCAAGGAUGACAAGCAAAUUUGUAAAGCGUUCCAUCUAUAU